rnacentral:rRNA from 1 species
GUCUACGGCCAUGCCAACCUGAACAAGCCGGAUCCCAUCUGAUCUCGAAAGCUAAGCAGGGUGGGGCCUGGUUAGUACUUGGAUGGGAGACCACCUAGGAAGACCAGAUGCUGUAGGCA